rnacentral:lncRNA from 1 species
CAGCGCUUGCUGCAUACCAGGUACCAUGCUUUACAUCCUUUCCCUGGUUAAAUCCUCUUAACGCUAUACACUUCUUACCAUUUUACAGGUAAGAACACUGAGGCCCUGGGAAAUUGGGUAAAUUGCCAAGAUCACAGAGAGAGCAGCAAAUUGGUGGGGUCCAGAGUCGUUGCUCUUCGCCACUGCACCAUGCUGCCAUUGGAAGGAAAUGCUCUGUGGAAGGAAGAGAGGAAGAAAGGACUCAGCCUUGUGUUUGAAAUGGAAGGGGAGACAUCAUUUCCAGCCAGGACUAAUCAUGACAGGGGUGGUGUUUAUUCUGGAUCAUGAAGGAAAGCUAGGAUUUCAAUAGGCAAAUAGGACAUUUGGGAAAGGACUGACAUGAGCCCUAGCUCCCUAGAGGAGAGAGAGUAGGCGUAUUUUCUAGAAAUGCCAGGGCUACCAGUCUAACGAGAGCAUCUGUGGGCUGCUGAAGAGUGAAAUUUACUGCCACUUCCAAGUCUAUUCUCAGAGCUGGAUUGUUGCAAGAGGCCCUCAUCAACCAUGACCCCUUUUCCAUCCUCCCCUCUUCAAUCCAUUUUAUGUUCUAUUGCUGGAUCCUCUUUCUUAGACCACUUCACCAUCUCAAUUCCCUGCUCUUACUCACCCACCCACCACCACCACCACCCCAGAAAAAC